CUUCCUUCCUGAGACAAACUGAGCGGUAACUUGCUGAACACACUGAUCUACUUUUCUCCCUUGACUCUUCUGAUUGCCUCGGGCAGGUCAUACUGGAGCUAACUUGGUUCCCCUGGCAGUUUUGGACCUGAGUGCACUUCCAGAGCCAAAGACAUACAUAGAAGACCUACACUUUUAUUGCACAAACUUGGAGUCUUAAAUGUUUUCUGAUUUCUGAUUGGUCAUCUUGAUUCUAAAUUUAGGACUAUAAAAUGUUGAGUUAUUUCAAAAGCCCCAAACGGCCUGCUGAUGGUUAUAAAGAAAAAAGCACAUUGCUAAAACCUAAAAUAGGGCCUCUCCCUGUUUAUAUAGUUGACCUGAAAGAAGAACAAAUCAAUGUUGAUGGGUGCAAGCGAUUCAGAUUGGGUAAAGAGUCAAAAGAUAA